ensembl:lncRNA
UCAUUAUAUUCAUCAGUUUUCCAAUAUUCAGUCAUCUUUGAAUUUUUAGAAUCUCUUUCUCAGUGCAGUUGUUUUUUUAACGGUGUUUUUGGAUGGUAAUUGUUAAACCUUAAGAUUUGGCCAGGCACAGUGACUCAUGCCUGUAAUCCCAGCGCUUUGGGAGGGCAAGGCGGGUGGAUCACAAGGUCAGGAGUUCAAGACCAGCUUAACCAACAUAGUGAAACCCCGUCUCUACUAAAAAUACAAAAAUUAGCUAUGCGUGGUAGCGGGUACCUCUAGUCCUAGCUACUUGGGAGGCUGAGGCAGGAAAAUUGCUUGAACCCGGGAGGCUGAGGAUGCAGUGAGCCAAGAUUGUAGUGCUGCACUCCAGCCUGGGUGACACAGCGAGUCUCUGUCUCAAAAACAAAACAAAACAAAACAAAACCCUUAAGAUUUAUGAAUUGACAUUUAUAAGUGAUAUUGGUCAGAACCAAUAAUCUAGGAUGUUAUUUACUUAUUUACCUUUUCCUUAGAUUUUCCAGGACUCUGUGGCUAAUUUGGAUUUAAACUCCAAGCCAGGAUAUGGGCACAUUUGGUGAACAAAUGUUAUGAGUCCCUUCUCUCAUGAGCACCUUUGAGUGUGAGCUUUAUGUACAGAGACCCCUGGCUGGCAAUGCCCCACCCAGGCCUCGCUCCACCACACUUGAGUGCCCCAGCUUGCCUGUGUUACAGCUUGUACCCACGUUCGGCAGUUCCUGAGCUCUUUAUACUGUGCCCAAGAAGAAUGAGGAUACACUGGACAUUGAAAGAGACACGAGAAGAACUGCUUUACCUUAAUUGGAAGUUUUUCAAAGGGGCUAUUACAGGAGUACCAAGGGCAUCACAGAGAUGGAGCCAAAGCUGUAUACAGUUAUUGCAGUUUUGGGUGAUGACGAAUUAGCCUUCUCUAUAUUCUGAAACUUCUAUUUUAGUAUGAAUAUUUUUAUAAUGUUAUCACAUUGCAAAGCUCAACUCUAGUUAGCAAGUUCAGACAUGAUAAACUUCAAACUUCAUGAUAAACUUAAAGUUUUGUUUUGAUGAAAGGAAAAUAUACAUUAUAUAAAGGUUCAUAAAAGCCUGUGUGUGUGUGGAGCCAAGAAAGGCAUGAGUCUUUUUUGGUGCAUAAGCUAUUAAAAGAACUACAGUAGGUGCUUGAUGUCACUUACCCUAAUAUCCCUGAUAUUAAAAUAGUUUUUCUAUAAGUUGAAUGAUUUUAUUCCUUUGAAGUAGUAGUACUGUUUCAUUAUAUCCCACUGAAUAAACUGUAGUAGGUACGUGUCAUGUGCUGGUGAACUAAGGAACUCUUGCUUUUAAGUCACUAUUGAAUUCAUGACUUUGUGAUUACUCUUGUCUCCUUGCAUUUCCUCAUGGUGCUCCAUUUCAUUAAUAAUAGAAAGGUCUCUAGUCUGAACACACUUCAUUUUUAUGCAUUGAAGUUAUUUUGGCUGGCAUCCGCUGAUACUCCUCCCAAGCUGUUUCUAUUUAUGAGGAUACUAUUGUGAAGAUACACAUUUGGCCGGGCAUGUUGGCUCAUGCCUGUAAUCCCAGCACUUUGGGAGGCUGAGGUGGGCAGAUCAUGAGGUCAGGAGUUCGAGACCAGCCUGACCAACAUGGUGAAACCUCAUCCCUACUAAAAAUACAAAACUUAGCCAGGCAUGGUGGUGCGCACCUGUAAUCCCAGCUACUCGGGAGGCUGAGGCAGGAGAAUCACUUGAACUCUGGAGGCAGAGGUUGCAGUGAGCCAAGAUUACCACUGAACUCCAGCCUGGGCAACAGAGCAAGACUCCCUCUCAAAAAAAAAGAAAAGACAAGAUACACAUUUAAGAAGCACUAAAGAAACAUUAAUACAUCCUAUAUUAGGAGAAAUAUUUAAUUUUGUGUGCUAUUUUUGUAGAUCAAAUAAUGGGUUUUAAAUAA